rnacentral:rRNA from 1 species
GUUUGACCUCAAAUCAGGUAGGAAUACCCGCUGAACUUAAGCAUAUCAAUAAGCGGAGGAAAAGAAACCAACAGGGAUUGCCUUAGUAGCGGCGAGUGAAGCGGCAAAAGCUCAAAUUUGAAAUCUGGCACCUUCGGUGUCCGAGUUGUAAUUUGAAGAUUGUAACCUUGGGGUUGGCUCUUGUCUAUGUUUCUUGGAACAGGACGUCACAGAGGGUGAGAAUCCCGUGCGAUGAGAUGCCCAAUCCUAUGUAA